GAUGAACGCUAGCUACAGGCUUAACACAUGCAAGUCGAGGGGUAGCAGGGUAGCAAUACCGCUGACGACCGGCGCACGGGUGAGUAACACGUAUCCAACCUUCCCAUAACUCGGGGAUAGCCUUUCGAAAGAAAGAUUAAUACCCGAUAGUACUUAAGAAAGGCAUCUUUUUAAGUUAAAGAUUUAUUGGUUAUGGAUGGGGAUGCGUUCCAUUAGAUAGUUGGUGAGGUAACGGCUCACCAAGUCUUCGAUGGAUAGGGGUUCUGAGAGGAAGGUCCCCCACAUUGGUACUGAGACACGGACCAAACUCCUACGGGAGGCAGCAGUGAGGAAUAUUGGUCAAUGGGCGAGAGCCUGAACCAGCCAAGUAGCGUGAAGGAUGAAGGUCCUAUGGAUUGUAAACUUCUUUUAUAGUAGAAUAAAGUGACCCACGUGUGGGUUUUUGUAUGUAUACUAUGAAUAAGGAUCGGCUAACUCCGUG
rnacentral:rRNA from 1 species